GAUGAACGCUGGCGGCGUGCCUAAUACAUGCAAGUCGAGCGAACGGACGAGAAGCUUGCUUCUCUGAUGUUAGCGGCGGACGGGUGAGUAACACGUGGAUAACCUACCUAUAAGACUGGGAUAACUUCGGGAAACCGUAGCUAAUACCGGAUAAUAUUUUGAACCGCAUGGUUCAAAAGUGAAAGACGGUCUUGCUGUCACUUAUAGAUGGAUCCGCGCUGCAUUAGCUAGUUGGUAAGGUAACGGCUUACCAAGGCAACGAUGCAUAGCCGACCUGAGAGGGUGAUCGGCCACACUGGAACUGAGACACGGUCCAGACUCCUACGGGAGGCAGCAGUAGGGAAUCUUCCGCAAUGGGCGAAAGCCUGACGGAGCAACGCCGCGUGAGUGAUGAAGGUCUUCGGAUCGUAAAACUCUGUUAUUAGGGAAGAACAUAUGUGUAAGUAACUGUGCACAUCUCGACGGUACCUAAUCAGAAAGCCACGGCUAACUACGUG
rnacentral:rRNA from 1 species